GCUAACGUCCGUCGUGAAGAGGGAAACAACCCAGACCGCCAGCUAAGGUCCCAAAGUCAUGGUUAAGUGGGAAACGAUGUGGGAAGGCCCAGACAGCCAGGAUGUUGGCUUAGAAGCAGCCAUCAUUUAAAGAAAGCGUAAUAGCUCACUGGUCGAGUCGGCCUGCGCGGAAGAUGUAACGGGGCUAAACCAUGCACCGAAGCUGCGGCAGCGACACUGUGUGUUGUUGGGUAGGGGAGCGUUCUGUAAGCCUGUGAAGGUGUGUCGUGAGGCAUGCUGGAGGUAUCAGAAGUGCGAAUGCUGACAUAAGUAACGAUAAAGCGGGUGAAAAGCCCGCUCGCCGGAAGACCAAGGGUUCCUGUCCAACGUUAAUCGGGGCAGGGUGAGUCGACCCCUAAGGCGAGGCCGAAAGGCGUAGUCGAUGGGAAACGGGUUAAUAUUCCCGUACUUGGUGUUACUGCGAAGGGGGGACGGAGAAGGCUAUGUUGGCCGGGCGACGGUUGUCCCGGUUUAAGCGUGUAGGUGUGUGUUCCAGGUAAAUCCGGUUCACUUUAACACUGAGGCGUGACGACGAGGCACUACGGUGCUGAAGCAACAAAUGCCCUGCUUCCAGGAAAAGCCUCUAAGCAUCAGGUAACAUCAAAUCGUACCCCAAACCGACACAGGUGGUCAGGUAGAGAAUACCAAGGCGCUUGAGAGAACUCGGGUGAAGGAACUAGGCAAAAUGGUGCCGUAACUUCGGGAGAAGGCACGCUGACACGUAGGUGAAGUGAUUUACUCAUGGAGCUGAAGUCAGUCGAAGAUACCAGCUGGCUGCAACUGUUUAUUAAAAACACAGCACUGUGCAAACACGAAAGUGGACGUAUACGGUGUGACGCCUGCCCGGUGCCGGAAGGUUAAUUGAUGGGGUCAGCGCAAGCGAAGCUCCUGAUCGAAGCCCCGGUAAACGGCGGCCGUAACUAUAACGGUCCUAAGGUAGCGAAAUUCCUUGUCGGGUAAGUUCCGACCUGCACGAAUGGCGUAAUGAUGGCCAGGCUGUCUCCACCCGAGACUCAGUGAAAUUGAACUCGCUGUGAAGAUGCAGUGUACCCGCGGCAAGACGGAAAGACCCCGUGAACCUUUACUAUAGCUUGACACUGAACAUUGAGCCUUGAUGUGUAGGAUAGGUGGGAGGCUUUGAAGUGUGGACGCCAGUCUGCAUGGAGCCGACCUUGAAAUACCACCCUUUAAUGUUUGAUGUUCUAACGUGGACCCGUUACCCGGGUUGCGGACAGUGUCUGGUGGGUAGUUUGACUGGGGCGGUCUCCUCCUAAAGAGUAACGGAGGAGCACGAAGGUUGGCUAAUCCUGGUCGGACAUCAGGAGGUUAGUGCAAUGGCAUAAGCCAGCUUGACUGCGAGCGUGACGGCGCGAGCAGGUGCGAAAGCAGGUCAUAGUGAUCCGGUGGUUCUGAAUGGAAGGGCCAUCGCUCAACGGAUAAAAGGUACUCCGGGGAUAACAGGCUGAUACCGCCCAAGAGUUCAUAUCGACGGCGGUGUUUGGCACCUCGAUGUCGGCUCAUCACAUCCUGGGGCUGAAGUAGGUCCCAAGGGUAUGGCUGUUCGCCAUUUAAAGUGGUACGCGAGCUGGGUUUAGAACGUCGUGAGACAGUUCGGUCCCUAUCUGCCGUGGGCGCUGGAGAACUGAGGGGGGCUGCUCCUAGUACGAGAGGACCGGAGUGGACGCAUCACUGGUGUUCGGGUUGUCAUGCCAAUGGCACUGCCCGGUAGCUAAAUGCGGAAGAGAUAAGUGCUGAAAGCAUCUAAGCACGAAACUUGCCCCGA
rnacentral:rRNA from 1 species